rnacentral:rRNA from 1 species
UACGGAGGGGGCAAGCGUUGUUCGGAAUUACUGGGCGUAAAGGGCUCGUAGGCGGCUUGCUAAGUCAGACGUGAAAGCCCUCGGCUCAACCGGGGAACGGCGUCUGAGACUGGCAAGCUGGAAUCCGGGAGAGGGAUGCGGAAUUCCAGGUGUAGCGGUGAAAUGCGUAGAUAUCUGGAGGAACACCGGUGGCGAAGGCGGCAUCCUGGACCGGCAUUGACGCUGAGGAGCGAAAGCCAGGGGAGCAAACGGG